GGCCGGUUAGCUUAAUGGCAAAGCAGCGUUCUGACUAGCUACUGCAGUUCAGCGAAGCGGGGGAUCCGGGUUCGAGUCCCGGGCCGGUCA